rnacentral:lncRNA from 1 species
UCAAGUUGGACUUCCUCUGUGUCCGCAAUAGACUUCAUGAAAGCUCUCGUUUUGAACAAGCAAUGCAGGCCGCGGAGAGCCUCUUUUCUGUUUACAGAAAUUCAAGUAUUUGGCUAGCCGGUCAUUCACUAGGAUCCGCUAUUUCACUGCUUAUAGGUAAAAAUAUGACUAAGAUGGGUUAUAAUGUUGAAGCUUACCUCUUCAAUCCCCCAUUCUUGUCUGCUCCUGUAGAGGGAAUCAAGAGUGAAAGGCUGAAGCAUGGGAUUCGUUUUACAAGCAGCGUAGUCAAAGCUGGCCUCGCUUUUGCUGUAAAGGGUCGUAAUCUUAGACACGAG